rnacentral:rRNA from 1 species
CCUACGGGAGGCAGCAGUGGGGAAUAUUGGACAAUGGGGGGAACCCUGAUCCAGCCAUGCCGCGUGUGUGAAGAAGGCCCUCGGGUUGUAAAGCACUUUCAGUGAGGAAGAACGCCUGGUGGUUAAUACCCAUCAGGAAAGACAUCACUCACAGAAGAAGCACCGGCUAACUCCGUGCCAGCAGCCGCGGUAAUACGGAGGGUGCGAGCGUUAAUCGGAAUUACUGGGCGUAAAGCGCGCGUAGGUGGCUUGAUAAGCCGGUUGUGAAAGCCCCGGGCUCAACCUGGGAACGGCAUCCGGAACUGUCAAGCUAGAGUGCAGGAGAGGAAGGUAGAAUUCCCGGUGUAGCGGUGAAAUGCGUAGAGCUCGGGAGGAAUACCAGUGGCGAAGGCGGCCUUCUGGACUGACACUGACACUGAGGUGCGAAAGCGUGGGUAGCAAACAGGAUUAGAUACCCCAGUAGUC